AAGCUCUCUUCAUGAAACAAGAGCUUUGAAACCUUAUUAGGUGCCAGAUAUGAUUUCUAAGUACUUUGCUUGUAGUAAAUCAUUCAAUUAUCACAUCAAACUUCUAAGGUGAGUACCGUUACCACCCCCACUUUACAAAUCGGGAAACUAAGGUGUGGAGAGAUGGGGUAACUGGUGCAAUGUCACAAAGCUUGUAACUUGAAGACGCCUGGCAUGAACCCAUACAAUCUGGUUCCAGAACCUGCUGUCCUGAGACCCUCUGAUACCUUAGGUCCAAGUAGAUAUCUUCCAAGCAACAUCAUGGUUACUGAGCUGCUUAUCUCUGACUCUGGGAAGAGGAUGCCCCCAUAGAGCAGAUGAAUAUCCCUGCCACUAGAAAGCGCCGUCCUCCCAAGUACACUGGCAAUGCAGUGAGUUUGCGGUGAGUUGGAGGCACAGGGGACUACUGGCAAAUAGAGGCUCUGGGACUACAAAGCUGGGGCCAGAUCCUGAAGACCUUGCCAGUGUCCUCCUGCCACCCCAGGAGAUCAAUGGGCACCUUUCUGCUGCCACUGCCCCAUCCCACUCAGGUCCUCAUUUUGGGACUUGCCAAUUGUCCUAACUGUCCCUCCUCUCAUUCACCUCUGCUGGGCCAAUUUUUAUGACGAUUCUAAUUUACUUUUCAUAAGUCUUUUGUAAUUUUUACUUCGUUUUGUUAUUUCUCCAAAGAUAGUCCACGUGGCUUAGCUGUGAAUUCAAGUCCUCAGGAUGAAACUCCACUUUCCAACCUUCCCCCCCAUUUACACUCACUAGUCACCCUCCACCACCCCCUUGCUUGGGCUUCCUCACCCUUUCAUGCUUUCCUGUGCUUGUUACAGUUCUAUCUACCUGGCAGAACUCUUGACUCAUAAAAUUCUAUCAUCUCUGAGGCCCACCUCAAGCUCUGCUUCCCCAUUGUCAUUCCAGGUAGAAAAGGUCUACCAUUUAAAUCCCCACAGCUUUGUCACAACUUCUUUAAGGGGCUUGCGAUGCGAGGUGCUUGAGUUUUCAUCACAACAUUGGGAGACAGCACUGUGCCUGGCGAUGGAGAACAGAAAGCAGACACCACCCAUUUCGCCUGGUGGUUCUUCCAGGACUACAUCAGGGCUCUGAUGGGGAUGGAGGACGAUGGAUAGGGAACCCAGCCAAAACCACCUGAUCUCUUUUUAAAGUAGUGAGGAAGGGUGCACUGGAACAGUUUACCCUUGAGAGGGUCACUGCCCUUGGGAGCUCAGGGAGGUAUGUUUAGUCCUAUCUAUAACAUCAGAAUCUCUUGGAGGGCAGCUGCUUAUAAACCAAGUGUUCUCAAUCUUUCUGGUGUCAGGACUCCUCUACUCUCAACAUUUUGAAGGACUCCAAAGAGCUUUUGUUUAUGUAAGUUUUAUCUGUAGAUAUUUUAUUAAAAAUCAAAAUGGAGAGAAUAUCAACAGUAUUUUUCUAAAGGCGAUCAAAAAAAAUUAUUCAGUUCCAUUGAGCAUGGAGUUUCUUGAAUGUAACCCUUUGUCAAGAUGGAGUCAUGUAGUAUCCAAGUUCGAAUAAGUCACAACUGCUUUGAUCUUUAAGUAUGAUCUUGGGGCGCCUGGGUGGCUCAGGCGGUUGGGCAUCUGCCCUCAGCUCAGGUCAUGAUCUCAGGGUCCUGAAAUUGAGCCCCAUAUUAGUGGGGAGUCUGCUUCUGCCCCUCCUUCUGCCCCACUCCUGCUCCUCUCUCUUUCUCUCAAAUAAAUAAAAUCUUCUUGAAUAUGAUCUUGAUUAG
ensembl:lncRNA